AGGACAGCUGACUCCAACUGACCAAAGGGAUAUACCUGACUAUAUGGCAUCAUACUCAGUAUAGAAACCAGGAGAAACAAGGAAAAAGGGA